GAUGAAGAGCGUAGCGAAAUGCGAUAAGUAAUGUGAAUUGCAGAAUUCAGUGAAUCAUCGAAUCUUUGAACGCACAUUGCGCCCGCCAGCAUUCUGGCGGGCAUGCCUGUUCGAGCGUCAUUUCAACCCUCGAGCCCCCCCGGGGGCCUCGGUGUUGGGGGACGGCACACCAGCCGCCCCCGAAAUGCAGUGGCGACCCCGCCGCAGCCUCCCCUGCGUAGUAGCACACACCUCGCACCGGAGCGCGGAGGCGGUCACGCCGUAAAACGCCCAACUUUCUUAGAGUUGACCUCGGAUCAGGUAGGAAUACCCGCUGAACUUAAGCAUAUCAAUAAGCGGAGGA
rnacentral:misc_RNA from 1 species